UAUGGGGAGACUGAUCCAUGCUAGCUGAACUCCUUUCCAAAAGACGAAAUGCCCAAACAUUUGAAAAAAUCUCCAAGGGCAUGAAGGACAGAGGCUAUAACAGGGACUCACAGCAGUGCCACAUGAAGCCUACGAAAAAUCAGAGUAUCAGAGGGGUAGCCGUGUUAGUCUGGAUCUGUAAAAGCAGCAAAGAAUCCUAUGGCACCUUAUAGACUAACAGACAUAUUGGAGCAUGAGCUUUUGUGCAUCCGACAAAGUAGGUAUUCACCCAUGAAAGCUCGUGCUCCAAUAUGUCUGUUAGUCUAUAAGGUGCCACAGGACUCUUUGCUGUUUUUUACAAAAAAUCAGAGGGGCAAAUGGUCACUCUGGGUCAGACCCCCAGACAUGCCGCUUCUAUGAUGAGCUGCCUGCAGUUCUAGGUGGUGCAGCCACCACUACCCCACCGCUGUGCUUUGACUCCAUCCGUGGAGUAGCACACAACAGGGAUGCGGGUUUGGGAGACGAGGAAGAUCGCUCACAGCAAGGAAGCGGAGAAACCAUUCUUCCCGACAGCCAGGAACUGUUUCUCACCCUGGACAUGGAGUCCGUACCCCCCGAACCCAGCCAAGGCUGCCUCCUGGACCUGCCAGGCAGAGAAGGGACCCUCUGCUGCAAAUGUUUCAACGCUCACACUAUCUUCUUCCCAGAGGCUAGCGAAGAUUAGAAGAUGGGGGAAAAAAAACGCAUUUGUGAUGAAAUGUUCUCUGAGCUCAUGCAGUCCUCCCACACUGAAAGAGCCCAGUAGAAUGCAUGGAGGCAGACAAUGUCAGAGUCCUGGAAAGCACAAUCUGAACGUGAGGACAGGUGGCGGGCUGAAGAUGAUAGGUGGCGUCAGCUUGGUGACAGAAGGCAGGAGGCAAUGCUGAGGCUACUGGAGCAUCAAACUCAUAUGCUCCAGCGUAUGGUUGAGGUUCAGGAAAGGCAGCUUGAGCACAGACUGCUGGUACAGCCCCUGUGUAACCAACCACCUUCCUCUCCAAGUUCCACAGCCUCCUCACCUAGAUGCCCAAGAACACGGUGGGGGGGCCUCCGGCUAUCCAGCCACUCCACCCCAAAGGACUGCCCAAGCAACAGAAAGCUGGCAUUCAAUUGGUUUUAAAGUGCAAUGUGGCCUUGUCCUUCCCUCCUCUCCCACCCCUCCCGGGCUACCUUGGCAGUCAUCCCCCUAUUUGUGAGAUGAAUUAAUAAAGAAUGCAUGAAUGUGAA